GAAUUCCGGGGAGACUGCCGGACUUGGGACCGGGAGAGGCUAGAGGUACUUCUGGGGUAGGGGGUAAAAUCCUGUAAUCCUGGAAGGACCACCGGUGGCGAAAGGCGUCUAGCUAGAACGGAUCCGACGGUGAGGGACGAAGCCCUGGGUCGCAAACGGGAUUAGAUACCCCGGUAGUCCAGGGUGUAAACGCUGCAGACUUGGUGUUGGGGGCCCUUCGGGGGCGUCCAGUGCCGGAGAGAAGGUUGUUAAGUCUGCUACGUUGGGGAGUACGUCCGCAAGGAUGAAACUUAAAGGAAUUGGCGGGGAGCAACCCGCAACGGGAGGAGCGUGCGGUUUAAUUGGAUUCAACACCGGAAAACUCACCAAGGGCGACUGUUACAUGAAGGCCAGGCCGACGACCUUGCCGGAUUUUCAGAGGAGUGGUGCAUGG
rnacentral:rRNA from 1 species